rnacentral:misc_RNA from 1 species
UGUGGGAGCGAGCUUGCUCGCGAUGAGGCCAGCACAUUCAGUCUCUAUGGAACUGACACACCGCUAUCGCGAGCAAGCUCGCUCCCACA